ACCUGGGUGGCUCAGUUGGUUGAGUGUCUGACUUCAGCUCAGGUCAUGAUCUCACGGUUCAUGGGUUCUAGCCCCACAUCAGGUU
rnacentral:tRNA from 1 species